AGUGGGAUAACUGGGUCAAAUGGUGGUGCCACUCCAAAUUUUCUGAGGAAUCUUCACACUGCUUUCCAGAGUGGUUGCAUCAGUUUGCCGCCCCACCAGCAAU
rnacentral:pre_miRNA from 1 species